GAUACAUAAAAUUAAGACCAAGGGAUAGAAGAAGGAGUUGACCAUCUUUUUCCAAGUCGGGCUGCAUUAAUAACUACAGCCAACUUGCAAUUAAUUGCCACCACACAUGAUUCUGUCAAAUGAAACCCACCUUCACCUUCAGUUUCAUUUAAGUCAUGCUCCAUUGUUACAUACUACUUUUCAGCGGGUCAUUCUGCAUUGUUACAUACUCAAU
rnacentral:lncRNA from 1 species